rnacentral:rRNA from 1 species
UACGUAGGGUGCGAGCGUUAAUCGGAAUUACUGGGCGUAAAGCGUGCGCAGGCGGUUCGUUGUGUCGGCGGUGAAAGCCCCGGGCUUAACCUGGGAAUGGCCGUCGAAACUGGCGAACUGGAGUGUGGCAGAGGGGGGUGGAAUUCCGCGUGUAGCAGUGAAAUGCGUAGAGAUGCGGAGGAACACCGAUGGCGAAGGCAGCCCCCUGGGCUGACACUGACGCUCAGGCACGAAAGCAUGGGGAGCAAACAGG